AAAGCCCCUGGGGGCAUUGCAGGUGUGGCUGCUAUGUCAUAUGUGUAUCGGUAGGUGGCAGGGGGCAGAGAGGCUAUGUUCAGUGUUUUGAUCUAUGAACAUCUGAAUAAUCAUUAGUCUAUUAGU
ensembl:snoRNA Gm25723 predicted gene, 25723